AGGUUAAUAACCUCAUCGAUUGACGUUACCCGCAGAAGAAGCACCGGCUAACUCCGUGCCAGCAGCCGCGGUAAUACGGAGGGUGCAAGCGUUAAUCGGAAUUACUGGGCGUAAAGCGCACGCAGGCGGUCUGUCAAGUCGGAUGUGAAAUCCCCGGGCUUAACCUGGGAACUGCAUUCGAAACUGGCAGGCUAGAGUCUUGUAGAGGGGGGUAGAAUUCCAGGUGUAGCGGUGAAAUGCGUAGAGAUCUGGAGGAAUACCGGUGGCGAAGGCGGCCCCCUGGACAAAGACUGACGCUCAGGUGCGAAAGCGUGGGGAGCA
rnacentral:rRNA from 2 species